rnacentral:rRNA from 1 species
CCUACGGGUGGCAGCAGUGAGGAAUAUUGGUCAAUGGACGAGAGUCUGAACCAGCCAAGCAGCGUGAAGGAUGACUGCUCUAUGGGUUGUAAACUUCUUUUAUACGGGAAUAAAAUCUUCUACGCGUGGGAUUCUGUAUGUACCAUACGAAUAAGGAUCGGCUAACUCCGUGCCAGCAGCCGCGGUAAUACGGAGGAUUCGAGCGUUAUCCGGAUUUAUUGGGUUUAAAGGGUGCGUAGGCGGUUGGUUAAGUCAGUUGUGAAAGCUUGCGGCUCAACCGUGAAAUUGCAGUUGAAACUGGCAGUCUUGAGUACAGUAGAGGUAGGCGGAAUGCGUGGUGUAGCGGUGAAAUGCUUAGAUAUCACGCAGAACUCCGAUUGCGAAGGCAGCUCACUGGGCUACAACUGACGCUGAGGCACGAAAGUGUGGGUAUCAAACAGGAUUAGAUACCCGUGUAGUC